GCCCUGUUAGCUCAGUUGGCAGAGCAGCUGACUCUUAAUCAGCGGGUCACAGGUUCGAGUCCUGUACAGGGCA
rnacentral:tRNA from 1 species